AUUGAACGCUGGCGGCAUGCCUUGCACAUGCAAGUCGAACGCGAAAGGGGGGCAACUCCUGAGUAGAGUGGCGCACGGGUGAGUAAUGCAUCGGAACGUGUCCUGUAGCGGGGGAUAACCUAGCGAAAGCUAGGCUAAUACCGCAUACGUCCUACGGGAGAAAGUGGGGGAUCGUAAGACCUCACACUAUAGGAGCGGCCGAUGCCGGAUUAGCUAGUUGGUGGGGUAAAAGCCUACCAAGGCGACGAUCCGUAGCUGGUCUGAGAGGAUGAUCAGCCACACUGGGACUGAGACACGGCCCAGACUCCUACGGGAGGCAGCAGUGGGGAAUUUUGGACAAUGGGGGAAACCCUGAUCCAGCCAUGCCGCGUGAGUGAAGAAGGCCUUCGGGUUGUAAAGCUCUUUCGGCCGGGACGAAAUCGCACGCGUGAAUAUCGCGUGUGGAUGACGGUACCGGAAGAAGAAGGACCGGCUAACUACGUGCUAGCCGCCGCCGUAA
rnacentral:rRNA from 1 species